UCUUAACUCUCGCAACAUUCCCAAGUGUUUGGAUCAGGCCAUCCAAACACGGAAGACUAUCGUGUUGUUGUUAUUUUAUAAAACAAUUACUUUAUGGUUUCCGUGUUUGGAUGGCCUGAUCCAAACACUUGGGAAUGUUGCGAGAGUUAAGAAA